rnacentral:rRNA from 1 species
GCCUAUCGUANAUAUUAAUUCACACCNNNUAACGCCAGGGAUAUUACGAGCCCUAGNUUAAAAUCCAAAGGACUUGNCGGUGUCCCAUCCACCUAGAGGAGCCUGUUCUUUAAUCGAUAACCCCCGCUACACCUCACCAUUUCUAGCCCUUCAGCCUGUAUACCUCCGUCGCAAGCCUACCAUGUGAACGUUUAUAGUACGCUUAAUGAUCCACAUCAACACGUCNGGUCANGGUGCAGCUCACGAAAUGGGAAGCUAUGGGCUACAAUUUUUAAUAUAGAACAAACGAAAGACCUUAUGAAACAUGGUCAUGAAGGCGGAUUUAGUAGUAAAAAGAAAAUAAAGUGUUCUUUUUAAUCGGGCCCUGGGACGUGU